CCUACGGGAGGCAGCAGUAGGGAAUCUUCCGCAAUGGACGAAAGUCUGACGGAGCAACGCCGCGUGAGUGAUGAAGGCUUUCGGGUCGUAAAACUCUGUUGUUAGGGAAGAACAAGUGCUAGUUGAAUAAGCUGGCACCUUGACGGUACCUAACCAGAAAGCCACGGCUAACUACGUGCCAGCAGCCGCGGUAAUACGUAGGUGGCAAGCGUUAUCCGGAAUUAUUGGGCGUAAAGCGCGCGCAGGUGGUUUCUUAAGUCUGAUGUGAAAGCCCACGGCUCAACCGUGGAGGGUCAUUGGAAACUGGGAGACUUGAGUGCAGAAGAGGAAAGUGGAAUUCCAUGUGUAGCGGUGAAAUGCGUAGAGAUAUGGAGGAACACCAGUGGCGAAGGCGACUUUCUGGUCUGUAACUGACACUGAGUCGCGAAAGCGUGGGGAGCAAACAGGAUUAGAUACCCUGGUAGUCCACGCCGUAAACGAUGAGUGCUAAGUGUUAGAGGGUUUCCGCCCUUUAGUGCUGAAGUUAACGCAUUAAGCGCUCCGCCUGGGGAGUACGGCCGCAAGGCUGAAACUCAAAGGAAUU
rnacentral:rRNA from 1 species